UGUGGUUACCGUUACUUCAGCAUUUUCCCCAAAUUGUCUUCGUCUCAGCUCACUGCUCUUCGAGAACAAUCUCACUCUAUCGAUUUGGAAAUCAAUUCAUUCUCUACCAUGCCACAAAUUGAAUAGAAUUUCCGUAAGAACAAUUCAAUAUAUGUUGGUUGCGUAAGGUAAAAAUUGAAUGAGCAGAGAAGAACAACUCCUCUACACACCGUCAAAGCGCCUUAAUCAUCCGAGCAACAAAGUCCGGCAACCAUGGUGAUAAGGAGAGCUUCCAUCAAGAAAUAAUCUAACUACUCCGGCGAACAGACCGAAGGAGUACAGCUCAAGAUCUAAACUGGAAACAUUCAUGUGUACAUGCAGAUAAUCUUCGUCGUCCAUGGUUGAUACAGACAGCGUUCUUAAAAUGCGGAUGUGUGUCUUUGAAAUAAUAGGAUAUUGGGUUCAAAAAUGAGAGUUCGCUAUGAUAUACAGAGCAACCCAGGUAAAUGUUACUCGGUAACUUAUUCCAAUGGAAUUAAAAAUCACCAACCUAAACCAUGAACCCUAAACCCCGGAACAUAAAAAUCACCAACCUGCAAAAAUUGUAUAAUAUUUAGCCAAAACAGAAACUUUUUUGUUAGGGUAAAAUCAAGUAUGCUUACCAAAUUGUGAAAUCCCUUAUGCCUCUUCAGGACUGUUUGUACUGCAUUAUCCAUCUUGCUUGCUUGCAACUGAAAACCUUUUGUGAUUCAUGCUUGUAAACAAAAUCUUAUAUAUUUAUAUAUACAUACCACUUUCUGUCAUAUAUUUUCAUAGCAACAAUAUAGGUUAGCUGUGUGUAUUUGCAUUGAAAAUUACAACUGCCUCACUGGUUUCCAUCUGAUGAAAUAAUCUUUGUAUAUGAAACUAACUAAACAAAAAUGCAAAUGAUGAAUACUACCGUCUGAUGCCUAAGCCAUAAGCAUGUAACUGUCAGUUACUAUUUCACUUCUAAAACUCACAGCAUUGUGCUAAGUGUGUGUAUACAGAGACUUAACAAAUGUGCAGGUGUUCUCAGUUCUAAGCCUCACCUUAAUCUUCAAGCAACUGUGUUGUUCCUCUUCAACAGCAAUAUGCAUAGAUGGCAUGGUAUCUUCGCACAGAUUUUGGUUCUUCGUUUCUAAUUUGCAGGUGGUUCGAACCGGGGAGAUGGUGAACUUGGGGGCGAAUAUUGAUAUGAAGGAGCUUUAUAUAGAGGCUGAAAUUUGUUCUCCAUGAAUAUUGUCUUGGAACUAUGAAUCUUGCUGGAAACGUUUGAAGACCCAAAGACUACAUUAAAGAGAUUGUUUUUUCGAAGCAUUUUAUGUAUGUGUAU